ACAGAGGGUGCAAGCGUUGUUCGGAUUGACUGGGCGUAAAGGGCGUGUAGGCGGUUAGGUAAGCCGGAUGUGAAAUCAUCAUCGCUUAACGAGAUGUCCGCAUCGGAAACUGCCCAACUUGAGUAUAGGAGAGGAUUACGGAAUUCCUGGUGUAGCGGUGGAAUGUGUAGAGAUCAGGAGGAACACCUGUGGCGAAGGCGGUUAUCUGGCCUAAUACUGACGCUGAGGCGCGAAAGCUAGGGUAGCAAACCGGA
rnacentral:rRNA from 1 species